CCUCUGAAGUGGUGAGGUGUUGCUCUGUGUGGGUAAAUGCUUAAAGCCUUCUGGAAUUGUAUGGUGACAUCCUUUGUGUUGUGAUUGUUUGAACUGUGACAUUCCAAGAGUAUCAGAAUUGGUGGAAAACACUGCAGGAGAGCAAACCUCGUUUUUCACAAGUCCACAAAAUCUUUGUGAAGAGGGUUGGAGUACUCCUGAGGGGAGGUAUGAGGAUGGAAGUGAGUCCAAGAGCAAUGUAGCACUGGAGCUGAGGGAGCUGCCUCACUUUGCUGCUCACAGGGCACAUGGAGCUGAGCUGACACCAGCAAACCCCCUUCAGCUCAGCAGGGAGUGUCUGAACAACAGAAACAGAGCCACAGACAUCCAGGUGCAACAAUGGCAUUUGAAAAUAUUUCAGAGUUCCUGAUGUGUCAACCUGUAGGCUGGAUGCAGUUCUCUCUGUGCUAAAGAGCUUGGAAGGAAGGAAGGAAGUUUUCAGCCUCACAGCUGGUAUGGAGCUGGCUAACAACUAACUUCAGCAGAAGGGGCCUGAAACCUUCCCAAUGAUCACAGGGACAGGCAGAGCAGCAGUUGAUCUGAUGAGG